AUUGAACGCUGGCGGCAGGCCUAACACAUGCAAGUCUAACGAGUGGCGGACGGGUGAGUAAUGUCUGGGAAACUGCCCGAUGGAGGGGGAUAACUACUGGAAACGGUAGCUAAUACCGCAUACCAUCUGAUGUGCCCAGAUGGGAUUAGCUAGUAGGUGGGGUAACGGCUCACCUAGGCGACGAUCCCUAGCUGGUCUGAGAGGAUGACCGGCCACACUGGAACUGAGAAACGGUCCAGACUCCUACGGGGGGGAGCCGUGGGGAAUAUUGCACAAUGGGCGCAAGCCUGAUGCAGACAUGCCGCGUGUAUGAAGAAGGCCUUCGGGUUGUAAAGUACUUUAAGCGAGGAGGCGUUACGCGCAGAAGAAGCAACAGCGAACUCCGUGCCAGCAGCCGCGGUAAUAC
rnacentral:rRNA from 1 species